CUCCUGCUGCUUGAACCUGAACCACAACAUACACACCAUCAGGGUAAACCACACCACUGUACACAUUACUUUGGAAAAACGCACAAAUCACACUCCUACCAGUGAUGAUUCUGCAGACAUGGCUAGCUCUCUGUCUACCGUGACCAUCAGGUGAAAGCAGAGUCCUCUAUUAUUCCUACAUCAACAGGAAUGUGUGUAAGAUGGCUCACAAUUGGUUACUGCAUAUUCUCCCUGUUGUAUGUUCCUGCCUCUUGUGUUUCAGCCUAGUAGACUGUGCAGUACAAGGGCACCACCUAGUGUCUCUGCAGACUGUGCUCCAGAGAUGCCCUCUUUGCUGCAGGACCUAGAUUAAGUAUCUGCGAGAAGGGACCUGGGAAUACUUUGGAAGUAGUUAAAGUGUUUGUAAUGUCUAAUUUAGUUGUAUUAAGUUAUACCUAUUUCUUAUUUUCCUCUAAUUUGCCACACAACAGCAUCGGUAGAGUGGGAGCAGAGUUGCUCUGCUCUGUCCUACCAUCCUUAGUUAGUCUGAGGAAACUCUGGUGAGGCUUAUGUUGUUGUGAAUUUGGGGGUUGGAAGAGCUUUACAUGGGUUUUGUAGGCCAAAGAUUAAUAUCCUAGGAUGCACAUGAAAAAUAUAAACAUGUUUAUAUUUUUCUGUAGUCUUGAGUCAAAAGAAAUAUCUGAAGAUGUGGUAUUGCUCCUUGCCGAGGGGUUGUUGCAGGCUAAAAGCCUUGAGAGCUUCAAGUAAGUGAUUGUCAAUUCUCUAUUCUUACUUAUGUUUAAUUUCUGGCACUAACUCUGACCGUUCACCACUCCCUCCACCUUAGUUCUUCUGGUCAUGUGAUCAGUGACAGAGGAGCUGUAGUUCUGACCAGAACACUCCAGAACCUACCAAAUAUCAGAACAAUCAAGUAAUAACUGACACGCUUUGUUUCUCUACAUAUCACCCCUACCUGUAUUCCCCCACCUGGCCAGUGACACAACAAUACUUCUGCGGAUCCCUCUGUCCCCCAGUCUGUCCCUGUGCUCUGGUUGGACAGCUGAAGGAGCAUUGGACCUGGUCAAAGGGCUUGGACAGUGUCUCUCUCUGGAGGGGAUCAGCCUUGACUCUGCACAGCUGGAUCAAGAGAGCACAGUCUCCUUGGCACAGGGACUAUGACCUUCUUGACGAGGCUAAAUCUGAAUAAGUUUGUAACCAUGGUGACUGGAUCCCCAGGGGAGGGGACCACACUGGUCCUACUGGCCUCUCUGGAGGGGCUCAGAGCAAUGGAGGAGAUUGAGUGUCAAAUGAUCCAAUGUUAGAACCUGUCAAAGUACCAGCCUGUCAGAUAACUAUAUUGGUGACCAAGCAGGAGAGAGGCUGAUCCAGAACCUGGACUGUGGAGGAAUAGUAUCUCUGCCAGUGAUGCCCAGAGACUGAGACAGAGGGAGAAGAGGCUCAACUUCUUCUCCACGUUGCCUAUGAUCUACUCAUUCAGCAGAACAGUCAACUUGCACUUUUAUUUUUAUAAUAUGUUAUGCACUUAGAGACCACAUUUCCUUAAAAUGAUAGCAGGUCAUCAAAUCAAACAAUAAAAUGAUCCUUGUAGGGGGGGCAGUGAACCUUUAUUCCAAACCUGGGAACUGGUCUCUAUCGCUCUUUCUUCCUCUUCCUGGAAAGGUCUGUGUGUUGUCUCUAUCCACUCUCAUAUUUAUUUCUGCAUUGAUUUUGAGUCUGGGAUUCAUUGAUUGCUUAAGGUUUGCAGAAUGAUUUAUUUUUCACAUCUGACUAAAAGGGUCGGUGAGACCAAGUCAAUUUGUUCUCUUGAACUGCUGGAUUCUAAUUCUGUCAUUGCUCAUGUUUCAAAUCAAAGUUUAUUUGUCACAUGCGCCGAAUAAAACAGGUGUAAACCUUACAGUGAAAUGCUGACUUACAGGUUCUAACCAAUGGUGCAUUUUAUCUACUAAUUUAUUCCUUAAACUUGUUGUGUUUUGUUUCAUGUGGCAUAUUUCUUGUUUACUUGUUUUUGUAAUGUCCAUUUUGAUGUUUUAUUAUGACAUGCACUGGUCUAAUAAAGUGGGAGACAAGUCUUCUUCAUAUUCUA